AUUAUAUGACUGAUAACCAUAUGCCAAAUCACUGUCAAGUGAUAUACCUAACCGUCUGCACUGCUCCAUAAAAACCUGGAGGGCACCAAAGAAACUAGCAGCAUUGGUCCUAUCCAAGGAAUCAGCGCAAUUGUAACGUAUCACUCCAUUUUGAUGUGAUCUUAAGCAGAAUGCUCCAUCAAUGUCAUCGCUAUAAAUUACUUCACCUUUGCAA
rnacentral:misc_RNA from 1 species